rnacentral:rRNA from 1 species
GAUGAACGCUGGCGGCGUGCCUAAUACAUGCCAGUCGAGCGAACAGACGCGGAGCUUGCUCCUCUCACGUUAGCGGCGGACGGGUGAGUAACACGUGUAUAACCUACCUAUAAGACUGGGAUAACUUCGGGAAACCGGAGCUAAUACCGGAUAAUCUAUUGAACCGCAUGGUUCAAUAGUGAAAGACGGUUUUGCCGGCACUUAUAGAUGGAUCCGCGCCGCAUUAGCUAGUUGGUCAGGUAACGGCAUACCACGGCAACGAUGCGUAGCCGACCCGGGAGGGGGGACGCGCACCAGACUCCUGCGGUACGGAGCAGUAGCGAACCGUAGGCAGCGGGCGAGAGCAUGACGGAGCAACGCGGAGUGUGUGACGAAGGCCUCGGGAGCGGAAAACUCGGUUAUGGGUGAAAAACAGAUGUGGAAGGAACUGUGGACGUCGUGACGGUACCUGAUCAAAAAGCACCGGCUAACUACGUG